GACGAACGCUGGCGGCGUGCUUAACACAUGCAAGUCGAACGGAAAGGCCAUGCUUUUGUUGGGUGCUCGAGUGGCGAACAGGGGAGUAACACAUGAGUAAACUGCCCUUAAAUUUCUGGUAACUUCUGGAAACUGGGGCUCAUACCGCGUAGAAGCUCCUGCUGCAUGGUGGUCGAUGGUGAGAUUCGGCGGUAGGGGAUGUAUUCGCGGCUUAUCCGCUUGUUGGUGGGGUAGUGGCUUACGAAGGCUUUGACGGGUAGGCGGCAUGAGAGGGUGACCGGCCACAAUGGGACUGCGAUACGGCGCAGACGCCUACGGGAGGCAGCAGUGGGGAAUAUUGCACAACGGGCGGAAGCCUGAUGCAGCAACGCCGCGUGCGGGAUGACGGCCUACGGGUGGUAAACCGCUUUCGCAGGUGACGAAGCGUGAUUGACGGUAAUGGGUAAAGAAGCAACGGCUAACUACGUG
rnacentral:rRNA from 1 species